GCUUCUGGAUGAGCAAAAAAAGUGGCUUCUUAAGAUGAAAUCUACUCCUGGUGAAGAUGCUGUGAA
rnacentral:pre_miRNA from 1 species